AUGGCUUCUCCUGAAAGUGACAGCAGUCAGAGACCGCUGCAGAACGCCAUGAGACUUGUAAAAGUGGCCAUUCAGCUGGAUACCGGCAACAGACACAAGGAGGCCUACUGUGAAUACUUGAGAAGUAUCAGCUACAUCUCUCAUGCUUUGCUUGAAGAUGCCACAUCUAAACAAAUGGAGUCGGUUGAAUUGGAGAAAAUGGUGAAACUAGUCGAGCAAUGUUUAGAGAGGAUUAAAUCAUGCAUCAUAAGAAAGCAAGAGUCCCCAACAUCUGUCAUCUCCUCCCCUCCUCUGUCCGCUUCCCAGCAGACCACCAUUCCAGCUAUUAAUGUGACAGCACGUCCCAAAAUAACAGAAACACCUAAUGCAGCUGCAUUGGUUUCUGAGACCCAAAGAAGAGAGCAGCCCACCAGACAUCGCAGAGUCCUCUCUGAGGGAGGGGAGACCAACUCCCCCUUCCUGCCCCCUGAAGUCUUCCAGAAGCUUCAGUCAGUGGAAUCACAAGACAACCGAAAGGAAUUAACGCCUAUUGAAGAAGCAUCACGUCUCAACCAGAAACUUAAGGCUAAUUAUGAGGCUCGGCUGGCAAGACUUACCCCUGGUCAAGCCACACAGAAAACCUCACUGACCCUCUCACUCCAGAGGCAGAUGAUGGAGAAUCUGAUAAUAGCCAGAGCCAGGCAAGAUGCACUUCAAAGAAAAAUGGAAGAAAGGAGACUCCGGCUGCAGGAAGAAGCCAACAGGAGGUUUGUGACCUGUGGGACCAUGACAGCUGAGGAACAAGAGCAGCGGGUUCUGUAUGCAAGUGUACUUGAAUAUGAGCAAGAUCAUGAAUGGCCAAAAAUUUGGAAAAUGAAUCUGAAAAAGAAUCCAAAUGAUCCAACACUGGUUUCAGGUCUUAUGUCAUGUCUUCUCAGCUACCCAGACCACCCAGUCAUGAAGUUGCUGAAGAGGCUUCAGUAUCGGGUGUAUAACAGACUCUAUCCUAUAGUGAGCCAGUGUGUUCCUCUGAGCACAGCGCCUGGUCACUCACUACUACCCUUAAAGCCUUCCUGCAGUGCCCAAAGCUUGUUCCUGUCAGACAGUCCUAUCUCUCCACAGCAGCAGCAGAGCCCGCUCAAAUCUUCUAUGACACACAGCUUAUCUGACGCCUCCAUCUCUUUUUCCCCAUCCCACGACCUCAAUGCCAACAACACAAUGUCUGAGAUAGACCCGGACGAGUCCUCAUCUCUGGUCUCUACAGAUAGGGAGAACUCUUUUGAGGAUCUAGAGAAGUUUCUUACUCAGCUGGACUGGGUUCCUUCUCACUGCGGUGAUGAUACAGACUCUGACGUGACCUUUGACACAACACACAUAGACCUAGAGUCUCAUGUUCAUCAUCUUGAGGAUCGUGCUUUAAAGGGACAUUUGAAGGCCAUUAUCAAAGACAUCCACAUUGCUAUUGAUCGCCUGCUGUCUCUGUGUCUUCUGUCCUUUGAAUGUCUCAACACUGCAAUUUCUAAGGACCAAUGCGUGGCAAGUAUAGAGGAAGUCUUCUUCACCCCUAUUUGGUGCCCUCUGUCUGCACUUUUUAGGAAGGUAUAUCAAGAACGGGAGCUGGCUGUUGAGAGCCGCAUGCGUCUUCAUCAUAAUGUUUCACCUGGUGAUGUUGGUGUACCAUCCAAACUGUUCCCCAGAGACCCAGCUGUGCUGCACGGUUCUUACCCUUACGAGUCAGCGGUGCAGGAGCUGAAGCUUCUGUGUAGAGACUAUUGUCCUCAGAAGAAACUGGAGUGUAUAGUGAGAACUCUACGAAUCAUCUGUGGCUGUGCUGAAGAGUACUGCCUAAUGCAAGAAAAUGAUCCUUCACCCAAAUCAGCAGCAAUAGGUGCUGAUGACCUGUUGCCCAUCUUGGCGUUCGUGGCUUUACGCAGUGCAAUGCCUCAGCUGGUGUCUGAAUGUGCUGCGUUGGAAGAAUUCAUUCACGAGGGGUAUCUGAUCGGAGAGGAAGGGUACUGCCUGACGUCACUGCAGAGCACGCUGACCUACAUCGAGUCAUUGCCCUUGGGUGGUGCUCCGCCCCUGACUGACAAACUUACCUGACGUAGGUAAAGCCAGUCAUAUCAUUUCAGGUUCAUCCUCUCUGAUACACACUGACUCAACCUAGUGAGCUACCUGCAUGGAGGCUAUAUUGUUAUAUUACCAUCCCAAUCCAAGGUCGUUCUUUCUUUUUCUUUCUUUCAUUAGUUCUUUCAUUCAUUUGUUCUUUUUCUUUCUUUGUAAAAGUAACAGUUACGAUAUUAUGUUGUUUAUCGAUUUCAAAUGCUGCUCUUUCAACUUUAAAAUUGACACAAAUAUUAAUCAGUGAUUGUUGAUGGCAAAAAAAUAAUUCUUGAGCAGCAAAUCAGUAUAUCGGGAAGAUUUCUGAUGGAGCGACUGCUGUAAUUUCAGCUUUGCUGUCACAGAAAUACAUUUAAAAUAUAUUAAAAUAGAAAACUAAUACUUUAAACUGUGAUCAAAUAAAUGGAGACUUUGCUAACAUAAGAGACUUCUUUCAAAAGCAUUUUAAAAAUCUUACCCACUCCAAACUUUUGAAUGAUUGUGUAUAUAUUAUUAUUGUUGUUGUUGUUGUUGUUAUUGUUGCCUAAAUGGGUUUGUGCUCUUCAAAUGUCAUAUUUCAGUUGAGUAACUUAGUCAUAUGGUGGGUCAGGGAAAGAUAAACCAGACCACUAACUCUAUCUCACAACAUUUUUCCGCCUCAUCAGAAGUUAUCCCAUUUUAUCCAAAGGUUUAACUUUGCAGAGCGCAAUGUCUGUACCGCUGUCAAUUAUGCUACGGCGUACCGUGUUGAAAUGCACUUCUCUUUCGUCAUCCAUCUCUGAACAGAUUAAAUGAAACCCAUAGAAAAGGAGGGGCUGGGCUGUACCCCUGGAUCACAGCCAGAUGUGCUGCUAUUACCUUGAUGGAUGGAUUACAUCGACCUUGCUGAACCCUGAACUUCUUAAAGUGAAUUUUUGCUGUUUGUUUCUGCCCACAGGGUGAAGUUUCUGUUUAAGGGGCCUUAGCCUACGGAACGAUCUCAUGGUGUUUUGACCGUCCUCAGGAGUUGGUAUAUCGAUAAUGUUUAGUCCCAAAUCAGGCCAGACAUCAGUUCUGUUCAAAUCUUCUCCACCUUCUGCUUUGAAGGGACUGGAGAAGGUUAUUCAUGUGGGCGCUACAGGGCAGGUUCAUCUGAAAGUGGUUUAAAAAUAUAUAUAUGAGACUGAAUGGGAUGAAAUUAGCAAGAUGUUAGGAAAGGACUCAAAAGUUUAGUUUUUUUUUUUUUUUUUUUUUAUGUGUAUAUAUUCUAAUCUCAUUGAUUUUUAUUUUUUUUCUCCUCUUGUCCAAAUGAACUUCCCAGAGAAUUUUACUAUGGAAAUGAAAGACUAAAGCACUACUAGCGGUUGUCAUCCUGUAACACCCUAUUUAUUAAACCAUAUAAAAAGUGACACUAAUUCAGAGUUUUUGUAUUAUUUUAGCUCAUCAUUAUAUCAAUUUUGAGCUUAAAUGGUUAGGAGAAAAUGGAGAAAAAUUGUUGAAAACAAUCAUAUAUACAUAAACUCUAAGCUGUGCAUUUCUUUUCUUUUUUUAAAUAUAUUAACUUAUUUAAAUGCUUUUCACUCUAAUAGUCAAAGAAGUGAAAUCAAUGUGAAAAAAAAAGAUUGGAUGUGCAAGAAAGAUUAAUGCUGCUGAACCAUGUAUUCAGUCUGACGUUGAAUGGAUUGAAUGGAAAAUAGGCAUAAUAAAAUGUGUGCAUGCAAAUGCAUAAAUGUAUAUAUUUAUAUAUUUUGUCUGAGCAGAAUGUUUGUUGCUGAACACAUGUUAUGUAAUGUGAGUUGAAUGUAGCCUGAAUCUCUUUACCUGAAAGACAGUGGCCAUGUUUUUUACAAAACCUUCCCAAGUUCUCCAUACCUGAUCUUUGGAUUGGAUAAUGCACAUGGGCAUGGUUUGAAAGUGCGUGGCAUGUGAAUUUUCGAACAAUAAAGACAUAUGUAACCCA